GAGAAAAAUAGAUGCCCUCUGAUCUUAUUAAAAGCGGGAGCGGCAGCCCGCAGUUAGAGCGAGCUCUAUAAGCAAGCGUGAAGAGCUGCCUACAGAAGCCUCCUCGGCAAACAUGGUGUCCCCGGUGACCGUGGUGAAGAGUGAAGGCCCUAAACUCGUGCCCUUUUUCAAAGCCACCUGUGUCUACUUUGUCCUCUGGUUGCCAACCUCCAGCCCUUCCUGGUUCAGUGCCCUGAUCAAGUGUUUGCCAAUCUUCUGCUUAUGGGUCUUCCUGCUGGCACAUGGGAUCAAUUUCCUGACAGCCCAUCACAAUGCCUGUAGGAUCUUUGCUGGUUUGAUAUUCUCUGCCCUGGGAGAUGCUUUCCUCAUCUGGCAAGAGCAGGGCUUCUUUAUUCACGGCUUGUUGAUGUUCGGUAUUACACACAUACUGUAUUCCUCAGCAUUUGGAAUUAAACCUUGGGACCUGAAAGUUGGCCUUGGGAUUGGCUUGGUAUCCAGUUUCUGUUACACCUUCCUGUAUUCCUACCUCUCAGGCCCGUUUACCUAUUUGGUAGCUGUCUACAUUGCCUUAAUUGGCUUCAUGGGCUGGCGGGCUAUGGCUGGUGUGCAGCUUUGCAACGACCUUUGGACUUGGACCAAGCUUUCUGCUUGCAUCGGUUCCGUGCUUUUCAUGGUGUCUGACCUGACUAUUGCAGUCAACAAAUUCUGCUUUCCUGUCCCCUACUCACGGGUCAUCAUCAUGGCCACUUACUACGCGGCUCAAAUGCUCAUUGCACUUUCUGCAGUGGAGAGCAAGGAUGAAGACGUUUUCAAAAAGAGAAAAUAGAAACUGAUGCCCGUGCAUCCACCAGCUCUGUAGGGCAGGAGUCCUCUACCUUGGCAACUUUAAGACUUGUGGACUUCAACUCCCAGAAUUCCUUAGGCAGCAAAGCUGGCUGAGGACUUCUGGGAGUUAAAGUCCACAAGUCUUAAAGUUGCUAAGAUUGAGGACCCUUGCUGUAGGGGAUGCUACAGCUGCACUCAUCCUGGAGGAUGCUUCAGAAUCUGUGACUUCUUUGAAGCUUUUCUUUAUAGUAUUUGGAUGAUCUUGUCUAGUCCUGUUGAUUGGAGUAUGGAACUCCCUCUGGAGAUUUAGAUUGUUUUAGAGCACGGAUGUCAAACUCAAUCGCCUCACAUGACGUAACAUGAUGUAUCGCAACGUUUUUUGCCUUUGUGGAGCCAGGGUGGGCAUGGCCUAUGCAUGAUGCAUCCGCCCCGCAGACCACCCGUUUGACACCCGUUUUAGAGUAUUUACUUCCUGACUCUUGGAAACCUCUCUUAACACAUUAGUAUAUUUGUAUAAUACAGAAACUGGUGCUGAACAUUCCAGUGGGACAAAGCUCGUUUCAGGACAAUAUUACUAUUAAAUAGGGUAGGCAAUACACUGGAAUUUAAGAGCUUUUCCUUCAACACGGAAUGUGCAAAAUCACACAAAAAGGAGUCUCAGUGUUGCCUAAGCAUACAUUGCAAUAGAAUUGUGAAUCAUUAUGAGUCUACACAAGAAAUCUUUGGGACCUGAAAAAUACCACAAGAUGUAGGAGCACUCAUGAUAAUCACUAUGGGUAUUGUAAUAUAUGCUGUCCUUGGGAGAAGUCAGUUUAAAUUCCAGAUUCAUGAAAUCAUUUAUUUAUAGGCCAUGCAUAGCCUUUUAUUAUUAUUAUUAUUAUUUUGGUGAAUGUGAAUUCUGCAGAGCAUCUGUUUUUCUGCAGACUUUAAAAGCAACAACAAAAUGCAAUGAACUUCUCAGGCUGGUUGAAGUUGGAGACAGGAAAAAAUGUGGGGGAAAAAAAGGGUUUUAACAAUAAAACAAGUCAUGCUGUGCAGUGAAUCAGCUCUUCCAAGGGAAAAUGUCCAACGUUAUUAGUGCUGAAACACUAAGAAGGACACUUGGGCAUUUUUAAGACACCAGCUGCUUUGUGGACAUAAUUGAUUGGCCAGGAAAAUCACCUUUUUGUACAAGAUUCUCAGCCUCUUUUCCUCUCCACAAUCACUGUCUUGAAAGAGACUGCAUACACAAGAUUCUGGUUAUGAUGCCAUGAAGAAUGACUGUGAAAUGGAUUUCUAAGGUACACUCUUGUUAAUGUGAAAAAGAAGAGGAGGAGGAAGAAGAAGAGGAGAAGAAGGAGAGAUGUGAGUGAAUAUGGACAUAUAUGAGCCAAACAUGGAUAUACAUUUUCUGGUGGAAGCAUUUUACAUUGGGUUCUUUAGGUGAUCUUUUUGUAAUAUGUCCUUCCAAAAUUGAAUAAUAGGCAUUCUAGAGUCUUUCAGUGUAUUAUGAAAUUGUCUUCUCCAUCUGUUCUUUAGUCUCAUCGACUAUCUUAAGUCUAGUACUGUGUUUAGAUUAAGUUGUUGGUCUAUUUGUUUUGACCUAUAGAAUUCCAGAAUUUUAAGAGAAACUAAUGGGUGUAACAGUAAAUACAUUCCUGCGUUAGUAGGGACCUAACAUCUCAUUUGCCACUGAAGCCUUCACAAAUGGCUAACUGGUUUCAAUAUUUACAUUCCCCACAAAUGAUAAUGAUGAUGAUGAAGAUGUAAAUAAAAGAACUAUUGUGGCAAAAGACAGCAAAGAUAAUUCCAAUAGUGAUGGCUGCCUUGGGUGUAAUCCCAAAUAAUCUGGAGCACCAUCAGUUAAUUGCAAAAUACAAUUUCACUUGAAAUAGCUUACAUCCUGUGACAAUACCUUUAAUAUUAUUAAACAAUAAUAUUUAUAUAUCGCAAGUUUUGGGGAAGGACUCAAUAGGAAGACAAAAAUGCCAUAUCCAGUCUAAAUAACCAAAUGACUUGUGACCAACCAUAAUAAUAGUAAUCAUCUCUUUUGGGGAUAGUCUUUUAUAUUGUCAAACACCCCAUGCUAUCAGAAUGUCCUUCCUAAUACUGAAUUAAAGUCAUCUUCCCCUGUAAUUUAAGCAUAGUAAUUUCACCCCUGAACAUCAGAGAACAUGUUUGCUGCAUCAGCCCUGUGACAAUCCUUUGAAUGUUUAAAGAUAGCUAUCAUAUUCACUCUUCAACCUCUCUUUGCCAGGUUUGGCUGCCAGCCCUUAACUAUCUUUGUCAUCCUUCUCUGGACAUGAUCCAGUUUGUUGAUUGCAAUCAUACAACCAAAACUUAAUUAGUAGUGUUCAAGGCAAGUAUUGGUUUCAGAACUGCAUUGAAGUUGCAGAGUAGAAAGAAGCCACUUUUGUUUUAAAAAAGGUUAAAUAUUUAGAUUUGUUUCAAACCAGAGUGAGUUCAAAUUUCUCAGUUUAAUCUCACACAAUUGAGAACUUUUCAGAUCAUCUACCAAUGUAGUAAAUGACAAAAACGUUUUUGGUUGUCCCUAGCUUACUUACCCAGAUGUUAAUACAGAGCUUGUCGCACAUUUUAAAUACUUUAUAGUUUACCAGCAAUACUUCCCAAGACUUCUACAUAUCCUAUAAAAUAUGGUAUGCGUGUAUAAAUAUGAGUUAGGGGAUUUUUUUUUAACAUUGGGCAUGUUGGCUUAACAUAUUCUCUAAAAUUUUUCUGCUGUUCUUCAAAGGUUCAUCAGAAAGGAAUUGUUGGUUCAAAAUGGAAAUUAUAGGUAGCAUAAUACAUAAAAUUCAACUGUGACAUCAAAAAGUUGUUCUUGGGAUAAUCUGUCAGAAAUCUGAACAAGUAUAAAAUAUGUAAUUCUAUUAAAUUUUUAAAAGAAACUCCACAUUUUUAUAUAUUUAAAAAUUGUUAAAUAUAUUUAACAAGCAGUGAAGUAAUAGUGUUGGGUUGAGAAAAAAAAGAUUACUGUUAUUUUUUCAUACAACUUUUAAAUUUUACUAUCAGUUUGGUUGUUUUCUAAUAACAGCUAUGAUAACUCGGCUGAAAAAAAUCUGUAUGUCCACAAGAGGUUAAUCAAACUCCGGAUUUUUAAAGUCCAGUACAGUCCAGGAUCCCCUUAACUCACAAGAAAAAGUUGUGAAGGAUGCUGUUUCCUAGAAAUUGGGAAAUUAGGGCAGGCUGAUGGGCUUAAACGAAAGGCCUGAUUUGAAUGACAGAGCUAACAACAUGGAUAAUCUUUAAUGUUGUUGGAUAACAUAGUCAACAUUUCAUUCCUGAUAGAAAUUGUGACUCAUCUGGAUGAAAGAGAAAUAAGAGGAUUUAGCAAACUGAUGUCUCAACUCAUCCACUCUCAGAAUGUACUCUGUUCUGUGCUCUGAUCAUCACAGAAAUCCUGUACAUCUGAAGUUUCUCUAAAUUAUCCCAAUUCUGCAAAAUAUGUUUAACAUAAAUAAUCCUAUUUUUUUGGUGGUGUUUCUUCUGGGGAUGAAAAUCUGAAGGAAUGGAAUGGGGGAUAUGAAAUGUUCUUUCACAUUUUUUAACUCAUAUUUUCUAUGCUCUAGGACUCAGAAAGCAGGUGAUGGUUAUACAGGUAGUCCUCAACUUAUGACCACAAUGGAGCCCAAAAUUUAUGUUGCUAAGUAAGACAUUUGUUAAGUGAGUUUUGUCCCAUUUUAUGACCUUAAAUGAAUCAUUCCAGUUGUUAA